GUGUGGGGUGAUGCCUUGUUUUCCCUACAGGAUGGAAAUGGCAACCAGGUGCUGCCCCGCGCGUCCCAGGAGGAGGUCAAUCAGCGCCUGAAUAACCUCUACAGCCUCCUGCUGGAGCUGCAGGCUCAGGCGGCGCUGCAGGACACGCGCUGGGAGCUGCAGCUGCACGCGGCUCGCGGCUCGGCGCCGCCCC